rnacentral:tRNA from 1 species
GGGCGUGUGGUCUAGUGGUAUGAUUCUCGCUUUGGGCAAUGGUUCAAGCAUGCGAGAGGCCCUGGGUUCAAUUCCCAGUAUGCCCC